rnacentral:rRNA from 1 species
UACAGAGGGGGCAAGCGUUGUUCGGAAUUACUGGGCGUAAAGGGCGCGUAGGCGGCCUUCUAAGUCGAACGUGAAAUCCCCGGGCUCAACCCGGGAACUGCGUCCGAUACUGGAAGGCUUGAAUCCGGGAGAGGGAUGCGGAAUUCCAGGUGUAGCGGUGAAAUGCGUAGAUAUCUGGAGGAACACCGGUGGCGAAGGCGGCAUCCUGGACCGGUAGUUGACGCUGAGGCGCGAAAGCCAGGGGAG